ACAUCAGACCCCGGAGUCAGAGGGGGCGGUUCUGGCGCGCCACGCCUAGUGAGGGUGGGGCCACGCCCACACGGAGAGGCGUGGUCUCUACCCGGCGCGGGAAAGGGGCCGAAAUCGCGUGCGCGCGCUCAGUCAGCGACCGCGCGCCACACGUUUCGGGAGGGGAUGGCGGCAGCGGCGGCUGCUGGGAGCGGGACGCCCAGAGAGGAAGAGGCUCCCGGAGGGGAGGCAGCGGCUUCGCAGGCCCAAGCCCCGACGAGUGCACCCGGGGGAGUUCGCCUCUCGAGGCUGCCUCUGGCGAGAGUAAAGGCCUUGGUGAAGGCAGACCCUGACGUAACGCUGGCGGGACAGGAAGCCAUCUUUAUCCUGGCGCGUGCCGCGGAACUGUUCGUGGAGACUAUCGCAAAAGAUGCCUACUGCUGUGCUCAACAAGGAAAGAGGAAAACUCUCCAGAGGAGAGAUUUGGAUAAUGCAAUAGAAGCUGUGGAUGAAUUCGCUUUUCUAGAAGGACUAUUUAACAAACUGCAAUCAACAGCAAUCAACAGCUAUGAACCAGCAACCUACCCUGCCUCUUGGGACCCUAGCAUUUAUAUACCCUCUGAAGAGUUCCCAGAAUUCCAGAUGUCACACUAUCACAGAAACUAUCCUCAGCUGGCAAAAAAUCAUACCCCUGCUAGAGCAUGAGGCAAAUCAUAGUCAGCUGCUGUGGACAGACUGAACCAGCCCCAUACCACACCUGGGAUUAAAACAAAAACAUGUUCUUAUAUUUCUGUUUUUCUUUUUCUUUUUUUGUAGAACAUGAUUUUAAUAUUUUCAACUGUUAAUAUUCAACAAACAGAAUAAUUAUUUAAGAUAUAUUUCAUUGUUAUGUCUCCCUUUUCAUUUCUGAUUUUAUUAAUAAGGACACUGUCUUUGUGCCCUUUGGUUAGUCUGGCUAAGGGUUUAUCUAUCUUGUUGAUUUUCUCAAAGAACCAGCUCCUGGUUUUGUUGAUUCUUUGUAUAGUUCUUUUUGUAUCUGUUUGGUUGAUUCAAGCCAAACAGAUAAAAAAAGAACUAUACAAAUUCAAGGCCUGAGUUUGAUUAUUUCCGGUGGUCUACUCCUCUUGGAUGUAUUUGCGUCUUUUUGUUCUAGAGCUUUCAGGUGUGCUGUCAAACUGCUAGUGUAAGCUCUCUUCAGUUUCUUUUUGGAGGCACUCAGAGCUAUGAGUUUUCUUCUUACCACUGCUUUCUUGUAUCCCAUAAGUUUUGAUAUGAUGUGUCUUCAUUUUCAUUAAAUUCUAAAAAGCCUUUAAAUUUCUUUCUUUAUUUCUUCCUUGACUAAAUUAUCAUUGAGUAGAGUGUUGUUCGGCUUCCAUGUGUAUGUGUGUUUUCCAUGUUUUUGUUGGUAUUCAAGACCAGCCUUAGUCCAUGGUGAUCUGAUAGGGUGCAUGGGAUUAUUUCAAUCUUCUUGUAUCUGUUGAGGCCUGUUUUGUGACCAAUUAUGUGGUAAUUGGAGAAGGUGCCUUGAGGUGCUGAGAAGAAGGUAUAUUCUUUUGCUUUAGUAUGAAAUGUACUAUAAAUCUCUCUUAGAUCCAUUUGGUUCAUUACUUGUGUUAGUUUCACUGUGUCUCUGUUUAGUUUCUGUUUCUAUGAUCUAUCUAUUGCUGAGAGUGGGGUGUUGAAGUCUCCCACCAUUAUUGUGUGCUUUGAGCUUUAGUAAAGUUUCUUUUAUGAAUGUGGAUGCCCCUGCAUUUGGAGCAUAGAUGUUCAGAAUUGAGAGUUCAUCUUGGUAGAUUUUUUUCCUUAGACCAGUAUGAAGUGUCCUUCCUUAUCUUUUUUUGAUAACUUUUGGUUGAAAGUUGAUUUUGUUUGAUAUUAGAAUGGCUACUCCAGCUUGUUUCUUGGGACCAUUUGCUUGGAAAAUUGAUUUCCAGCCUUUUACCCUGAGGUAGUGUCUGCCUUUGUCACUGAGGUGUGUUUCCUGUAUGCAGAAAAUGCUGGGUCCUGAUUACAUAUCCAGUCUGUUAGUCUAUGUCUUUUGGGGGGAAUUGAGUCCACUGAUGUUAAGGGAUAUUAAGGAAAAGUGAUUGUUACUCCCUGUUAUUUUUGGUGUUAGAGGUGGAAUUAUGUUUGUGUGGCUAUCUUUGUUUGGGUUUGUUGAAAGAUUACUUUCUUGCUUUUGCUAGGGUGUAGUUUCCCUCCUUGUGUUGGUGUUUUCUACCUAUUAUCCUUUGUAGGGCUGGAUUUAUGGAAAGAUAUUGUGUAAAUUUGGUUUUGUCAUGGAAUAUCUUGGUUUCUCCAUCUAUGGUAAUUGAGUUUUGUUGGGUAUAGUAGCCUGGGCUGGCAUUUGUGUUCUCAUAGGGUCUGUAUGAUAUCUGCCUAGGAUCUUCUAGCUUUCAUAGUCUCUGGUGAGAAGUCUGGUGUAAUUAUGAUAGAUCUGCCUUUAUAUGUUACUUGACCUUUUUCCCUACUGCUUUUAAUAAUCUUUCUUUGUUUACUGCAUUUGGUAUUUUGAUUGUUAUGUGCUGGGAGGAAUUUCUUUUCUGGUCCAGUCUAUUUGGAGUUCUACAGGCUUCUUGUAUGUUCCUGGGCAUCUUUUUCUUUAGGUUAGUGAAGUUUUCUUCUAUAAUUUUGUUGGAGAUAUUUACGGGCCCUUUAAGUUGGGAAUCUUCACUCUCUUCUAUUCUUUUUAUCCUUAGGUUUGUCUUCCCAUUGUGUCCUGGAUUUCCUGGAUGUUUUAGUGAAGAUCAGCAGAAAUGAAGACUCAAGACCAAUGAAGCUCGCCCCUCCCCCACUGAUACCCUGUCACUGUCCAUAUUUAUACAUUUAUACUCCCCCCAAACAGCACGUGAGUCUGUCUUAGCAAAACUCCACGUGAGUCUCUAUCAGUUGACAGCACUCUGCCAAUUCAUCAACAAGCUGCCAGAGCACCACCAGAAGUUCUUUGGUGAAUUUCUGUCUAUGGAGACACCACAAAUGAUGACCAAUAAACAAUGGUAAGACAUACCAAUACCAUCA